CUUGAACAGCUCAGCUCUUGGAAGUUUAUCUUAAUUGCUAAAAACAAACAAAACCACAUUGCAUCCACAAUGAUAUGCAGUACAGUCCCAUGCAAAUUGACUCAAUAAACUAAAGGUGACUGGGCUAGAUGGCGAUUACUUUCAAAAAGCAUGUGUAGGAUUGCAACACCUGGCCCAAUCCCAUGCACAUUUACUUCAAAGUAAACCUGCCUGGGAUUGCAGCCAUAAAAGCAGUGGAGACUAUACUGACUGGAAUAAAACAAGGAGGAGCUGGAACAGACUGGUCGGCAUUUUGAAGAGGGUCAGAUGCACAGCCAGUGCAUGUCAGGCCCUUGCAACCUAUGUGCACUAGAAUAUCCUUCCUGUACUGGUCUCCUGCCUGCUACUGAUUGUCCACACAGUAGGCAGUUGUGAAAGCAGAACCAGAAUGAGCCUCAACGAUAUAGAGUUGGCCAGGCAGACCGUGUAGCAACAGCGUGCUCUAACAGCCCAAACGGCUAGAAGGCAAAAUCUGAAAGUGAUAUGCUGUGGUAAGUCAAGGAUGGAGAACCCGUGGCCCUCCAGAUAUUGCUAGACUGCAGCUCCCAUCGUCCCUGACCAUUGGUCAUGCUGGCUGAGGCUGUUGAGAGUGAAACAACAUCUGGACACACAAGUCCCUCACUUCUGUCAUAAAUAAUAGGAGAAAUAAAACAGUGUAAAGACAACAAUAAAAUAAUCAUCACCAUCAUUUAUUAUUAUUA